AAGAAGUUCGUUUGGGUUUUUCCUUUAAGUGGUAUGGAAAACCUGAACAAACUUUUUG
ensembl:miRNA